rnacentral:lncRNA from 1 species
CUGAGAGCAAAGGAGCCAUACCAGGAAAGUUGAAGCAUAUCUUCAUUUUCAAGUCCAGGCUAAAAUAAGGUGAGAAAACUUAGAUGAAAAGUAUGCUGAACUAUAAUUUCCCCAUGAAGAAAUGUUCAAACGUCCUACUUCCUGUCCUAGCUCCAGAGCCUGAAAAGGUCUGAGGAAAAGAAUGAGCUGCGUGUGAAGGGAUAGAAAAAGAAAUCAUGAAAGAUCUGUUUGUCCAGGCCAGUGUUUCACCAUAAGAGAUCACUUUAAAUGAGAUGAAGUAAUUCUUUGCAAUUGCAAAUUUACCUUCCUUGCUUACCACAUUGUUAACUGUAGGAGCUGAUAUCUGGUUCUUCCACUGUUAACUUGNN